GGGGACGAUCGGUUUCGACGAUCUGAGUUGAUCAUGGUGAAGCGGGUCGAGGAUGCAGAGUGACCUCGUAAAUACUUCUCUGCAAAACAAUAAGUGCCGAAACUAAGCGCACUGACUUCGCCCUCGCUGCCUAAGCAGCGACGCGAGUCUGUCAGCCUGGGUCUGCUAUCGACCCAGAUCCUGGCAUCAGCUAGAUAGCCACUGGUUCCAACUCCUCGUCGUGGGGAGUUGGGUCGACAAUUCACACGACUGGGCCCGUCAGCCGCCUGUCUGCGUGACGGCUGGGGCCGAGAAAAUCUAUCAGCAGACUGCACCCGGAGAAGCCCAUGUGAAUCCAGAUCGGACGCGGGUUCGAUUCCCGCCGUCUCCACAG
rfam:Nesterenkonia sp. AN1 contig-9, whole genome shotgun sequence.